rnacentral:rRNA from 1 species
UCGCUGACCUUUGAAGGUCGUGCACGUCUGAGCACCCUCACACAUCCAUCUCACCCCUUUUGUGCAUCACCGCGUGGGGUCCCCCUUUGCAGGAGGGCCUCACGUUUUCACACCAAACUUGAUACAGUGUAGAAUGUUAUCUUUUGCGGUCACACGCAAUCAAUACAACUUUCAACAACGGAUCUCUUGGCUCUCGCAUCGAUGAAGAACGCAGCGAAAUGCGAUACGUAAUGUGAAUUGCAGAAUUCAGUGAAUCAUCGAAUCUUUGAACGCACCUUGCGCCCCUUGGCAUUCCGAGGGGCACACCCGUUUGAGUGUCGUGAAAUCCUCAAAAGCCUUUUCUGCUUUCUGAAAAGGACUUUUUGGACUUGGAGGUUUAAUGCUUGCCUUUCAGUCUUUGAAAGCGCGAGCUCCUCUGAAAUAAAUUAGUGGGGUCCGCUUUGUCGAUCCUUGAUGUGAUAAGAUGUUUCUGCAUUUUGGAUUUGGCACUGUUGCUUGGAUGCCUGCUCCUAACCGUUUCAUGAACAAUGAUGGUGCUCCGGUCACCGCUGCCUACGUUGGCGGAGGGAGGCUGGACCCACGAAAGAAAACC